CGAGGAAUAUUGUUAAUAGUUACACUGUGCAAUUUUGGCCAAUAAUCAAUAGUGUUCUUGAAGAGUCAUUUCUUGGAUAUACAGAACAUAACACAGUCCAGCAUAGACUUGUGAGAUGCAUUCAAUUAUAUUGGGUGCUGCUGGUUACUCUUUACUGCUGUCCAGUCUGGUGACUUUAAUAGUGUUAAUUAGAAAGGGACUCAGACAGUAUAAAAGAACUCCUAUGUAUGUACUUUCCACGUCCGACGUACUGAGUUCAAUGUUUACAGCGAUAUUAUUACUACUAAAUCAGCUUAAGGUGCUUAAUGGGAUACCGUAUAGUAGUGAGGUCAAUGAUACGAAUGACAAUCGCACAUUGCUCCUACGAAUGACAAACGAAGAAAGGUACCAAGAAGCGUUUCAACAGUUUCAUAAAAUAUACAACAGCAAUCAGUCGGAUGGUGGGAAUUUUAAUUCAUCGGCUUCAUCGACAUGCACCUUCAAUCACGUUAUUAUGCAUUACGCAAUGUUUCUGGUACCUUUUGCCAAUGCAUUUCUAUCGCUCUUAAGUUUCUUCAUGCAUUCUAACUGGGACAUAACGUGCACGGAUAACAGAUGUUUGCAAUUAAUGGAAUUGCAACAAAAGAAUAAAAAUAAUACAAAACAGGAUAGGAGGUUGUCCCGGGAUUCUGUAACCAGAGAGAAUAUUCGGAGUACAGUUUUGAACGUCUGUAAUGAAACGAAAAUAACCAAAUUAAAAAAUGAUAAAGGUAGUCUGACCAGUCUGAGUGUUAUAAGCCAAUGGAUUGUGCCUGUACUCCUAACGGCGAUUUUGCACUUUUCCAAAAUUCAGGAUAUGAGCAGUGUGCGGGAUGCGAAGGAUACGGAAUGCGUUUUCACUGUUAAUUUUCCAUUUGAAAACUGUUAUGCUAUAACUGAUCCCAUGGAGUUUGAAUCAUUAUCAUUGGAAGAGCACAGUACACCUGCGGAUAACGAUUAUAUUGGAAGCGAUGAAACGCUCAGAUUAUCCAAUCCAGAUACUAAAGAAACAGAUGCUGUUGUGUCAAGUGUGUACAAGCUUAUCCAAUCAUUGAUUAACGAGACAGAAGAUAACUUUACUAGUGAAAAGUCCUCCGGUUACUAUGAUACCUCAGAAUUGUGGAACGUCACAAAAUAUUUUGAUAAAGACAAAGUCGAAAAAGGAGUACAGAGUCAACGAUAUACUGUUGUCAAGAAUGAUACGAGUCCUAGUGACACAUCGAUUUUAAGGGGCAAUGAAAGUGUUACUGAGACGUCAGAAGAUGAUAUUACAUUAGCAACAAUAACAGAUAGCGAUGUAGAGAAGGAGAAGGUUGAAGUAGAACUAUUUGAGGAUGCAAUGAGAGAAGCUAAUGCUAAAAUCAAUGCAGAAACUUCUACACAGAUAGCAGUUGUCCAAGAGUUUCAAGAGAACAUUAUUGUAAAGAAGGAAAAUGUAGAUGCAGUUAAUAGUGGAAGUUUAUCAACUACAGAAAGUAAAUUAGUAAUUGAUUCACAUAAAUCCAAAGAUGAAAUCUAUGCAGAUAUUGUUAAACGUAUUCAGAGUGUCACGUCAGAGUAUAAAAUAAAGAACAAGAUAAGAAAUUCCUUAAGUAAUAACAAAAGACAAAAUAUUCAGAAUAAGGUGAAUGUAUAUAUAUUGGAUGAUCGACCUAUUGCAGAAGAUAAUGUAUUUUCAUUUCAAAAUGGUUCGCUGCUAAAGAAAUCAAGAUUGAAUAAUAUUUUUUAUGACUCUCAUGGAGCUACAAGAAAUCUGGACAUGCCAUCUUGCAUGAAAAAUCAGUGUUUCCUUGACACACGCUUUGUAAAAAUAUAUUUACUUGGCCUUGUAUUUUUUGUUUACUUUGUGCCAAUAUUAAUAUCCAGUAUUUUGUAUAUUCGUGCUAAGUAUAAGUGUCAAAGUAUUAUUGAAAAACUUGAAUUAAAUAAUAUUAUGAACAAGAUAACCAUUGAAAAUAAAGUUAAAGCACAUUCAGAACCAUUAACCAUAGAUGCAUUUAGAAGUCGAGAAGUAAAAUCAGGCUCUAUCGCAGAGAGCAGUGAGCAAUGCAAUAAAAACCUGGGAGAAUGUUCUCAAGCUUGGGCUGAAGUUGGAACCAGUAAGGAUGAUAUGCAAACCCUAAGCUCAGUAUUAGAACAAACUAGGAGCAUGGAAUCAGAUGAAUCUGAUAAAUACAUGAGCAUAACAAGAGAAACAACAAAAAUACAGAUGAUAUCACAAGUGUUAAGGAGGUCAUUGAUAUUUGGUGUACUACUCUGGACUCCGUUAUUCCUAGAAGUAUUGUCCAAAGUAUUUUUAUGUGCAAGAUCACCAGACUGGCUCAUAAACAUUGUAUUCCUAAUAGGCUUAUCGUUUGGUAUAGUAAGAAAUUUUCUGAAUCUCAAUAUGCUUAAUAUGCAGGGACUCUACGAUGGCAACAAUGAGAAGGAAAACAGUGUGCAUCCAUUUUCAUAAAACAAUCAUAGGGCACAGAAUUUCUAAAUGUCAAGUUUCUUCAAUUUGCAAUCUAACAAAUUCUAAGUGACAUAAUGGGACCCUUGAAAGAGAUGAAGAAGAAACUCAUAAGAUCCUUAUCAAUUUCCAAAUGUUAUCAGCACUUAAGUAUACAGUGAAACGUUGACUAUAAAAUAAUACAUGGAGAAAGUGUCCUACCGUGCGUUCACGGUCCAAAUCUCAAGAGAAAGUACCAACUGCUGGGGACAAUCGAUGAAACGAAUCCGUUGAAUAGGCGAUACGCUGUCAAUUCAUGGUUUACUGUUUUAUAGCGUAAACUAGACACGAAAACGAUAAGUAAAUCAACGCUCGACAGCUGUAAUUGUCGCUGAGACACGCACGUCAUAGGAUACGAGUUUAACCUUACUCAAUGCGCGCGCAGUCACCCGAAAGUUUGCAUUUUUAUAAGACGAUGGCCGCUUAUAAAUUGCGAAUAUGCGUAAUAUUGUUUAAUGGAUUUAAUAAUACAUUAAUUGACUGUUGACAAUAUACAACUACAAAAUUGGAACAUAUCUUUACACCUUUCAGUCUAUGAUAUAAAUUGUAAUCAUUGUUUGAUUAAAAAUUUGCAUUGUU